ensembl:lncRNA
CAAGAGAGAGGAGCAAAACCACUGUGGGGGGAAAACAGCAGUUAAGGCUCUUCAGUGAACAAGACUGCAGGCUUAGUCCCAAACGUGGUGCUGAGAAUCAAGAGAAGCUCUUCAGUGAAUGAACAGUUCUGACCCUUCAGAUUAUUACUCUCCCUACAGAACCUUACCCUCCAACCUGACUCGUGCAAUGGAGAUGGACUAAGAGAAGUGGAAGAAAGUGAUGUGGAGAGUCUGCAGUGGAGAAAGAGGUUCCUCUGGGGAGCAAUUUCAGACUGCUUACAUCCAGAUCUGCCAUGGAGCAGGGAAUUAGGAAAUCAGCCAGUCAAGGACGGCUUGGUUCUGACCUAACCCCUGAGAAUCAACCAGGUGGAGCCUGUGAUGAAUGUAUUCCUGCCCUUCUGCACCAGCUGAGCUCAUUUUGCUGUGCUGAAUUCAUGACAAGACAAGAAAGAUGACGUGAAACUAGUGAGGUCAAUAUGCCUUCUGCUGCAACUUCUGUUUGGGGUGCUGCACGAAGAGGCUGAGCCUCCUGGACAGCACAGCUCCUGGGCUCCCACCCUCUCUGCACCUUCACAUCUGGUGUCACUCAGUGUGGAAAGGACUGGGCACUGCAUCACCACUUGGUGAGCUCCAGGGAGACCAGAGGCUGGGGGGAACCCUUAGGCGUGUCUCUCACUUCUGCAUAGCAGCUGAUGGGGCUGUGGCUUGGGAAAUGUGCCGGUACUCACUUUAAUUAUUAAGAUAAAGCAGAGGCACAGAGAUGGUUUACUUGGACUGCGGUGCUCUGGAUGCAAUUUUCUGUCUUCCGUUCCACUUCUCAGAUUAUAAACUUGUACAGCACAGAGGAUUUCUGUGUAGAAGUAUCAGAAGAGUCUCAGCUUUCACCACUCCUGCAAAAUUUAAUAUUAAAUAAAAAUGCCAUUGUAGAGUCCUUUUUUUUUUUUUUUAAGUGCAAAACAAUCUCUGCUCAUCUACUCAUACCUACUGCCAAUAGUACCUGCAAUAGUAGUUGUGGGUUUAUCUUACCAGGGAGCUGCUUGUCAGUGAAGGACAGCCAGGAGCUGGGUGUAAGCAAGGUGUGGGACAGGGCCCCCACUGCAUGGUGUUGCAUGGGCACCAUUCUGCAGUGGCUGAGCAAGGAAAGGGCAGGGCUGUUGAGGAACUGCCUGAUGGUCCCCAGGUAGGUCUCUUGUGAUGCAACAGGUCUGAGGUCACAUUGGGGCGCACAGGGUUAGGCUCAAGGUAGGACUGAGGGCAACAACUGUAGCUUAAAUACAUGAGAAAAGCAGGUGUAGGAGGCCCUAAUGUGGCUCUGUGCAUCUCUGCCACACAUCAUUUGUUCCAACAACCUGAAUGAGGCUUAUGCUGCUGCCCCAUAGCAAAGAUAGGAUUGAGAACAGUCAGCCAAAAUCUUGGAUAGGAAGCAGACGCUGCAGAGCCUGGGGGUGUGCAUGGAGCACAAACACAACCAUCCUGCAGGAUGGUAAGGCUACAUUUUCUGUAGGACACUGCUGAGUGGGAAACACAGUCUUCGUCAAGAGGAUCAAUAUGUACCUGGGGCUCAGUGUCAAUCAGGAUUUCAGCAACUGUAUGCCACUACUUUGUUAUUAAGUGUUUUGCAGGAUAAAGUUGAUAUGGUAACAAGAGUAUCAUCCUUAUUUUAAAAAAUGAUUUUAAAAUUUCCACAACUCAAAAAUAGAUAGCCUGCAUGAAAAUAAUGCUUUGUAGAAAGACACAAUAUAUUUCUAUCCUACUCUGGGGAGGUUUCUGAGCAUUAUUAUCAUAUUGUGAUGCUAUGCUACGAUUAAUCACCCCUUUUAGUGAUGCAGCAAUAAACUUAAAGGUUUAGAUUUUCAUCUUGUGUAAAUCAAUAUGGGUUUAUUGACUUCAGUGGAACUCUGCCAGGUGAAUAUCUGGCCCCAGACAUCAAACUGAGCUUGUACAGAGAUGUUUAAUAAAGCAAGAGAUCUGUGUUUUCACAGUAGAUAAAUGACUUUACAGGAGAUGCUGAAGUCUCUUGUGGCACCCCUCUUCCAAGAAGUUUUAUUUUAAUCAUUCUCAUAAAGUCUCUUAGUUGCAACAAUAAUGCUAAGUGCCUGACACAAAGCGAAGGAAAUCUGCUUUCCAGAUAACUACUAGAAUGAAAUUUCAUUCUUUAGUCGUUGUUUUAAUUUACUUGUUCCCCUAGGAUUUUUAUUCUGUUAUUUCCUCCCUUUUACUAGCACUAGGGCUAAUGCUCAAAC